GGCUCCCUCAACCUAAGGGUUGGUGAUGGACCAUGUGAGCGUACGCUCGCCGGUCUGAAUUGCAUCGGCCCGGCCGUUUCCUUGAGGCUAUCAGCGUAAUAGGUCCAACCGUGUCUCGCUGGCUAUCGCCCCUGGAUGAGCGCUGUGCCUUAAGCUCUAUUAUUUUG
rnacentral:misc_RNA from 1 species